CUACGGAGGAUCCGAGCGUUAUCCGGAUUUAUUGGGUUUAAAGGGUGCGCAGGCGGCCAUUUAAGUCAGCGGUUAAAUCGUGGGGCUCAACCCCAUUCUGCCGUUGAUACUGGGUGGCUUGAUUGCGGUCGAGGUUGGCGGAAUUCGUUGUGUAGCGGUGAAAUGCAUAGAUAUGACGAAGAACACCGAUUGCGUAGGCAGCUGACCAGACCGCAAAUGACGCUCAUGCACGAAAGUGCGGGGAUCGAACAGGAUUAGAUACCCUGGUAGUCCGCACAGUAAACGAUGAAUACUUGUUUUCGGCGAUAUAAUGUCGGAGGCAAAGCGAAAGCGAUAAGUAUUCCACCUGGGGAGUACGCCGGCAACGGUGAAACUCAAAGGAAUUGACGGGG
rnacentral:rRNA from 1 species